UGUGGAGAAAAAACAGAGUAACCCAGCACAGGUUGUGGAGAAAAAACAGAGUAACCCACAAAAUCGCUACGAAGGAACCCAGCAAAGGUUGUGGAGAAAAAAAACAGAGUAGCCCAGCAAAAUCAUUACGGUCCUUUCAUUUUUGGAUAAAGAGCUGCAUACUUUUUGAGGGAAAGAGCUACAUAGUUAACUGUGUCA